rnacentral:rRNA from 1 species
CCUACGGUAGGCAGCAGUGGGGGAUAUUGCACAAUGGGGGAAACCCUGAUGCAGUGACGCCGCGUGUGGGAAGACGGUCCUCUGGAUUGUAAACCACUGUCCCCAGGGACGAAGAUGACGGUACCUGGGGAGGAAGCUCCGGCUAACUACGUGCCAGCAGCCGCGGUAAUACGUAGGGAGCGAGCGUUGUCCGGAAUUACUGGGUGUAAAGGGAGCGUAGGCGGGACUGCAAGUUGGGUGUCAAAUCUACCGGCUCAACCGGUAGCCGCACUCAAAACUGCAGUUCUUGAGUGAAGUAGAGGCAGGCGGAAUUCCUAGUGUAGCGGUGAAAUGCGUAGAUAUUAGGAGGAACACCAGUGGCGAAGGCGGCCUGUUGGGCUUUUACUGACGCUGAGGCUCGAAAGUGUGGGGAGCAAACAGGAUUAGAUACCCCGGUAGUC